rnacentral:lncRNA from 1 species
GCAAGUCUACCGUUGAUUCUCUCUGGUGCUGGUCCACUGAAUGCCAAUACAUCUGAAAACUUUGUACUCAUCUGUAACAAAAUAAAAUUGGAGCUGUUAAUAACUUAAUAUAUGAUUCAUCAAAUAAAUUUGAGCCGUCAGAUCUGUGAUCAAGUAAUUUACCUUCUUAACCUUGGGUGCAGGUGGAGGUGUAACUGGUGUCUGUGAAGCAGGUGGAGGAGUGCUUGUGCUUGACACAGGUGUGGGUUGCUCAGGCAACUUU